CGGUAGGUAGGACUGGGAGGGUAGCCGUCUCCCUUACCUGAAACCGGCUACACGCAGGGGUCAGUAACAGGCGGGUAAACCACGGGAGCUGGAAUUCCUGCCAUCCAAGCUGGUAUGAACCCACGCCGCGAUGGGCGGUCGCAAGGAGCAAUCCUUCCGAAGGGAAGGGUUUGACUCUCAAUCGUCGAACCGGGCCAGGUCCGGGAGGGAGCAGCCCUAAGAUGAGGUGGCUGUGCUGUCGCGUCUACGUGGAGGACCUCGCACGGGUGGAGAUUGGGCCCAGCCCUAUGGGAACUCCGGCUGAGCUACCG
rnacentral:SRP_RNA from 1 species